UUUUGGAUUUGAGUAAAAUUCGUCAACCUUAUCUAUUUAAGAAGGCCAAAUUAGAGUCAGAAGUACGCAUCAGACUCUUACAGUAUCACAGCAAGAAGAGAAGACAUGGAAGGCGUAGAACACAGAACGGUGGAAGUGAAUGGCAUAAAAAUGCAUGUAGCAGAGAAAGGAGAGGGUCCUGUCGUGUUGUUCCUCCAUGGCUUCCCCGAGCUCUGGUACUCCUGGCGCCACCAGAUUCUCGCUCUCAGCUCCCGAGGCUACCGCGCCGUCGCCCCUGAUCUACGUGGCUACGGUGAUACAGAGGCACCAGAGUCAAUCAGCAGCUACACCAUCAUGCAUCUCGUGGGUGACAUCGUGGCACUCAUAGACUCACUUGGUGUGGGUCAAGUCUUCCUCGUUGCGCAUGAUUGGGGCGCCAUCGUAGGAUGGUACCUAUGUUUGUUUCGACCAGAGAAAAUCAAGGCCUACGUUUGCCUCAGCGUCCCUUUCAUGCCCAGAAACCCAAAAGUCAGGCCCGUGGAUGCCAUGCGGGCCCUCUACGGGGAUGACUACUACAUCUGCAGAUUCCAGGUGCUUCCUCUGCCUUCUUCAUCAUUUUUCCUAUGGCCCCUGAUAAUUUCUUUUUCCUAUUUAUGCCUUUUUCUCUUUUUAAAUCCACUGUUCUGCUGCGCUAUUCUACUUCUGCCCAUCUCAAUUUGAGAUUCAAAUUCAACCAAUUUUCUUCCUUCCGUGAAAUUCCAAUUAUUAUAAAUAAUAUCUAAGUCAGUGAUACUUCAUUAUCACCCUCGAUUAGAUUUGAAUUUUAUGCAAUCUUUAGGUGAUUUUACUUAAACAAUUUGCUUAGUUUUAGCUUCAACAUCCGAUUUGUUGUUUGUCUGUAUUUGUUUUCCAGGGUUCCAAAAUGCAGAUAGCCUCUCCUCCCAUUUAAUUCAGACAAUAGAAAACAAGUAGAAAACGUACACAGAGCAAAAAAGAAAAAAAUGGGAUGGGUUUAAUCAAAAUGUUUGAAGUUGGAUAGAGUUUAAAAAUAGGCAAUCUUUACCAUAUGAAGCAGUUCUGUAGACUAUGACAUUGAAAGAACAGUGAUCUGAUAUUAUGGUGGUUGUUAUGAUACUUUUGUUGUACCUAAUUGUUGUGGCAGGAGCCAGGCAAAGCGGAAGCUCUGUAUGGCAGUAAUAAUAACAUUGGAGAAGUAAUAAAGAGCAUCCUUACAAAUCGGAGACCUGGACCACCAAUCCUACCCAAAGAAGGGGUUGCCCUUCCUUCAGGGUCCCUUCCCUCAAGACCCCUUCCAUCUUGGCUCUCGGAGGAAGAUGUCACUUAUUAUGCUUCUAAAUUUUCAAAAACAGGCCUAACUGGGGGCCUCAACUACUACAGAAAUCUCAACCUGUAAGUUCCUGAGGUUGCAGGUUGCUAUUUCUAACAUAUGUGGAUGAAUGUUCUACAUUGUCCAUUGAUAACAAUGAAAUUUGUGGUUUUUUUUUUUUUUUUGGUUCAAACCUUAUUGUAUCCUUUUGUGUCAUGUUUACAGCAAUUGGGAGCUCACAGCAGCAUGGACUGGAGCAAAAGUGAAAGUUCCAGUAAAGUUCAUUACUGGUGAUUUGGAUGUAGUAUACACUUCACUAGGGAUAAAAGACUACAUAGACAGUGGUGCUUUCAAGCGAGAUGUGCCAUAUUUGGAGGAAGUGGUUGUGCAGGAAGGGGUUGCUCACUUCAACAACCAAGAAGCUGCAGAGGAUAUCAGCAAUCACAUUUAUGAUUUUAUCAACAAGUUCUGAUGUUUUCAGCUUUUUUAAUGAACUUUGAGUUAGUUCAGUUAAAUAAUUUGGUCACCGUUGAUCUGUGUUACUGGCUGGUUUAUUUGAAUAAUCAUAUGAUUCUGCCAUUACAAAAGCAUGUUUUCCCUUAGAAUAAUAUAUGUAGUUUGCUGCUACAUAAAGUGUAAUCCUUCUAUUCCCUAAGUUAGUGGAAGGUUGGCUUUGUUCUUUUGCAUGAAUUAUUGUUGUAGCGACUGCUUUUAGUUAUCGUGUUGACAAUUCUUGAGCACUGUUUUAUCGACAAUGAAUGACCACAAAUUUUCCCCACUAUAAAUUUUAUCUUCAAUCAUAUAUAAUAAAUAAAUUUAUUUAUUUAUUUUUAUUUAUUAAAAUGUAUAAACAAAAGAGUCAAUAUCAUUGCUUUUUUACUCAGUGGUUCUAAUCUAUAAACUUAAGAGUCAAUGUCAUUUUUUCCCUUUCAUUAGUAUUAAUCUCGUUAGAGAAUAAUGAUUUAAGAAAAUAACCUUUUUUUUCGAGAAAAAGAAAAUGUUUAUAUCAAGUUGUCACCACCUAAUAACAUUAAUGUUCACCUAACAAAAUAAAUCAUAAUAACUCUCUUUAAUAAAUAUUAACAUCACAUUGAGUAGAAAAAAAAAUUAAAAAUAAAAUAUUAAACAAUUUUAGUGAAGACAGAAUGGUCAAGAAAGACGAGAAUAUUUCAAAAAAUUUAAACUCAAAAGAAAAAUUUAUUUGUUGCUUUAUUUAUCUUUUCUUAGUACCUUUAUUGUGCACAGAGUAUUUAAUAAUUGGUAAUGGUCAAAUAACAUAAAUAAUAACUAACAUAAUUAAUGUAUGUCAGAGCAACAUAAAUGAACUCCAACCUAAAUAGUACACAUUGAUGGGAUAAUCUACCUUUGACUCUUACAUUACAGAAGACUUUCUUAAUAAAAUAACAUCAUUUUGUUUUUGUGGUAAUAUCACAAAUAAACUUCUAUACAUUGAUAUGGAUGUAUGAUGAGAAUUUGACGUAACGUUAACCGGAUAUACAUUACUACACAAAAAGUUUUAGAAGUAACUUAUUUUGGAUUUUUAAUAUCAUUUUUAAAAUUGAUGUUUAUAUGGAUGACAUUAAUGGGACGUCAGUUUUUUACUGGUGUGAUGUCCUUAUAGACGUCGGUUCAGUUCAAAGACCGACGUCUAUAAAGACAUCAGACAUUGUACUAACCGACGUCUAAGGUCACCUUAUAUGUCGGUCCGUAACACUUUCGACGUUUAUAAAACCGUCAAACAUUGCAUUAACCGACGUCUAUGGGCACUAUGACGUCGGUUAGUAUAUUAACCGACAUCUAUGAAGUGAUCAUUAUGUUUUGGUGCAGUUUUUGUCGUGUCUUGGGGUAGCGUAGUAGCACCUCCUUCCUUUGCUAGUUUCUUCGUAAGAAAAAAUUGCAUCUUUUGAAUUUCUUAUGGCAUUUCAACCCAAAGACAAACCUGGGUCGUUGCCUAGGUUUAUUCCGACCGCCAAUGAAAAAGAAUACGGUGAGAAUACAAUGUAUUUUUUCAUUGGUGGUCGGAAUGGACAUAGGCAACAACCCAAGUUCGUCUUUGGAUUGAAAUGCCAUAAGAAAUAAAAAAGACGCAAGUUUUCCUUACGAGAAAACUAGCAAAGAGAGAAUGUGCAUUACGCUACACAAAGACACGACAAAAAAUCGCACAAGAACACAACGAAAACUAAUUUUGAUCGGUUCAAAUGAUAGAUAAUACAUCAAAGAUUACUUUAAUCGAAGUAAAAACAACUUUAAAUGGUUAAAAGGUGAGCAAACUUACCUGCAAAUGCAGUGCAAUGGAGAGAAAAGGCGAAGACGAUGAAACUGUUGGUUCACAAACUACUGUUUCGCAAGGAUUAUUUAACAAGAAAUUAGACGUCAGUUGGACACAAAACCGACGUCUAUAAUCCCAUAUAUGUCGGUUGCUUCACUAAUAUGACGUCCAUUCGAUUUAAAAAUUAAUAUUUAUGUUAUAUAUAAACGUCGGCUUGGCGGGAUGAGACGUCUAGUUGGUGAAAACGAAUGACUUUUCACAUACCUGGUCAGAUUAUAGACGUCGAUUACAAAGACAACUGAUGUCUAGAAUUGUAUAUUGACAUCUAUGUGGCAGGAUCCGACGUUUAUAACGCGGAAAAAAGUGACUAUUCACCUACCUGACAGACAUAUAGACAUCAGUUAGAAGGUGCCCCGACGUCAAUAGUCUGACAGGUAGGUGAGUAACCACUAAUUUCCGCCAUAUAGACGUUGGGGAUCUCCAAUCUGACGUCUAUAUGUCUGACAGGUAGGUGAAUAACAUUAAUUACCGCCAUAUAGACGUCGGUGCCCACUCUGAACAGACGUCUAUAUGUCUGAAAGAAAUGACUUUUCACCUAACUGUCAGGACGUCCGAGGAGAAUUCCCCGACGCUUAAACUGCCACUGGUCCUCAAUAUACGUUGUGCUUACCCUUAACCGACGUCUAAGGGAUGACGUUAAACAACGUUUUUGCAUUAGUGAUAUUUCAAUUAAUAGUUUAUGAUUAAUAUCUAAUAUUUGAAAUAUUUAUAAUUAAAUUAAAAUAAUUAUAUAUAUAUAUAUAUAUAUAUAUAUAUAUAUAUAUAUAUAAACAAAAUAAGAUACAAAUAUCAUACUUAAUAUGAGUUCUUUCUUCUAAAAUAAGAACUUAUACCGUUCAACUUAUAUUUUUUCUAUAUUACCAUCCAUUAUAGCUAUUGCAUCCUGAUAAAAUAUAUUGUCUGUUGAGUUGGAUUUCCUAUAGUUUAUUAUUUUAUCAUUAUAAUAAAGUAAUUUUUUGAUUCCAAGAGAUAAGGUGAAAAUUCAAAUUUAGAAUUAUAGUGAUGUUGCCGUGUAUGAUGUUGCCGUGUAAAUUCAAAUUAUAUUAACAAUUAGAAUACGAAGGUUAAUACCUUAUACAUGAAAAUUCAAAUUAUAAUAAUAGUUACAAUAUGAAAAUGAUUUUUAUAUUAUUUAAGGAAAAAUAUUUAAAUCAUACUAUUAAUUUAGAAUUAAUAAUUUUAACAAUAGCUAUAGAUAAAAUAAAAUUUUGAAUAAUUUUAUUAAUAUUAAUUUAUAAGAUAAUACAUAUAAUAAUUUUUAUUUAAAAAUUAAUUUAUUUGUAUUUAUAAUUAUUGAAACACAUAAUUUAAAUUAUAUUAUUUAAUAGAAUAUUAAAAUUAAAUAGUAAUUAUUUAAACAGUUUUCUAGAUAUUAAUUUUGAUUUUAAAAUAUUAUAUUUGUAAAGUCAAAAAUAGUUAUAUAAAUGAUUUUUUUUUUCUAAUUUUCGUAGUUUAUAAAAUAAUUAAAUUAAAAGUUAAUUUUAAAUAACUAACAUUAUUUAAUACAGAGAUAGCCUUUAAACAUGAUUUAUACUAUAAGUUUGCUAAUUUACAUGAAUCAUUAUAUUAUUAUUAUAUUUAUAUCCUAUUAUAUCAUAUUUUAUUAGCGUUAUGUCUUAUGUUUAAAUAUUACUCUUGCAACCGCGAGUUUAUAAAAACCCACUUAAAAUAAAAGUUGAAGAUUGUGAUUACCGCAAUGAAUCCAAUGACAAAAUGUUGGGGGAAAAACAAGGGUCAUGUAUCAUUAAUUUUAAAAAAUAUUAAUGUUUGUUUAUAAAAGUCUUGUUAUCAUUACUAGUAGAAAGGUAAGCAGAACAAGGAUACCAAAAUAAAUAAAAAAACUUAGAAUAGCUAAAAAAAAAUAUGAAUCUCAAGUCCCACAAAACUAUUAUAAACAACAUAAAAAAAACUUUUAAUGAGUAAAAAAACACAAAGAAAGGUCAAAUAGAUGAUUUAUAUGUAAGAUAUACUAUGGUUGAAGAUUAUUCAGUUUUAUUAACUAUAAUUUAGAGGUAAUUGAUUAAAUAAACAAGAUAUGGCGAGGUCAUAGGUCGAUUAUUGAAUACUUUGUAAAGAUUAAUUUUUUUUAUUGAAAACUGAGAUUUGUACUUCAAAUAAGUAAGACCAAUACAUUAUAUACUGAAUAUUGUUGGUCGGAAUUGAGUACCAUGUCCCUUAGCCAAAGACUAGGUGUCAUUCACUGAUGGAUGCGCUCCUCACUAGAGUCGGGUGUCGCCUACCUAAACCUAUCAUUAUUGUCAAAAAUAUUAAUAUACCACAUAAUUUAACUGAAAUUGGUAAUACAUCGCUACGAGUAAAAUGAUCAUUAGGCUAAUGAGUCCACAAUCGAGACCCAUCUAGGUAAGGACCCAUGAUUAGUAAAAUACUCCUAUAAGUAUUAUUUUAAUACAGUUUUGAUUUUACUUUUUGCAUUAAUCAUACUUUAAUUAGAAUCUCCGACUUAAAAUACUAACUUGAGUGAAUCUUUUGUAAGCAUCUUACCCAUUCAUUUUAUAGAAGACGAAUACCAAAAAGAUAAAAGAGGUUUGAAGGACUAAUACAAAAGAGAAGAGGUUUGUAAAAUAGAACAAGACUUUUUCCAAGAUACCUUUUACUCUAUAAAUACAUAAGAGUAUGCUUAAAUAUACAAUUAUAAAAUAUUUGAGAUUUUAAGAACUGUACUAUUAAAAUUUUCGUCAUUCUGAAUCGAAAAAUUUUCAAAAUAUUCUAGCUUGGAUGUGAUAGCACGCACAUGCCAAUCCAAAUCCAAACAGGGUUUGUAUGCCUUGUUGGAAUUUAAGAGUAUUAGAGACAAUUUUCAGAUUCAUGAAGAGUUACAAUUAUUUAUGAAAAGUUACCAUUCAUGAAGAGUUACAAUUAUUCAUGAAAAGUUACCAUUCAUGAAAAGUUACAAUCAUUCAUGAAGAGUUACAAUUAUUCAUGAAGAGUUGCUAUUCAUGAAAACUUACAAUCAUUCAUGAAGAAAUGUAACUAAUCAGAAUCUGGUAUCUCUUGGAUUGAUGCCUGAUCAACAUCUAUAUAAAGGGAUUCUGUGCUCUACAGAAAUUCAUUUUGUCAUUCUCUUAACACACAAAUCAAUUUUUGAGAAUCAUAUUCUUGUUUAACGGUAAUAUUAAGAGUGAGUAUCAUCGUUGUAUUUCAUCUUUGUAUCUCAAAAGCGGAUUUCGUGAUCCCCUUCACUCUUAUAAGGGACAAAAUAUUGCUUUUAGGAAAGUCUGUAUUCACGUCUAGAAGAAUAUAUCAAGUCUACAUUGUUGUUCAUCUUGUUUCCCUAAGUUCUUGGAAAAUUGUUCCAACAGUCUAAAAGCAAUAUCUUCUCAAAGAUGACAACAAUUCGUGAGAUGUCUGCAAAAUUUCAAAAAUUAGACAAGUUUGAAGGCGAUGGCAAAAGAAGAUGCAUUUCCUUCUCUCGACUCUAAACGUGACAUAUGUUCUAAGUUCUCCCCAACCCAAAGAAAGCGAAACCGAGACAUUAGAGGGACAACAUAAAAGGAAAAAAAUGGGAGAAUAAUGAUUAUGUUUGUCGUGGUCACAUUCUGAACGGUAUGUCUGAUCCUUUAUUUAAACAUUUCUAUCAUUUUAUUUCUCUAUGAAGGAUAUGGGAGAAGAAGAUGUUAUACUAGGUAUAAAGAUUAAGAGAGAAAAUGAGAAAUUAAUUUUGUCUCAAUCUCAUUACAUUGAGAAAGUACUCAUGAAAUUCAACAAUUAUGAAUGUUCUCUUAUUUCAACCCCUAUGAACUCUAGUUUAAAGAUAUUACCUAAUGGUGGUAAAACAAUUUUACAACUGGAAUAUGCAAGGGUAAUAGGAUGUUUAAUGUAUGCAAUGACAAGUACAAGGCCAGAUGUUGCUUUUGCGGUAAGCAAAUUGAGUAGAUACACUAGUACCCUAGUCUAUCACAUUGGCAAGCAGUACAUCGAGUACUUAAGUAUUUAAAGAAAACUAUUACUUAUGGAUUAACAUAUAGUGGUUAGUUAUCCUUCAGUUUUGGAAGGAUAUUCUGAUGCAAGUUAGAUUACAAAUGCAGAAGAUCAUUCUUCAACUAGUGGUUGGAUUUUCCUCCUUGGGGGAGGUACGAUUUCUUGGUCGUCCAAGAAACAAACUUGCAUUACAGAUUCCACUAUGGCUUCAGAGUUUAUAGCUCUAGCCUCAGCAGGAAAGGAAGCCAAUGGUUAAGGAAUCUCAUGUUCAAAAUACCAUUGUUACCAAAACCAAUAUCAGUAAUAGCAAUACAUUGUGACAAUGUUGCAACAUUGGCAUAGGCUUAUAGUCAAGUAUACAAUGGCAAAUCAAGACAUAUUGGUGUGAGACAUAGUUAUGUCCAAGGACUCAUCAAAGAUGGAAUUAUUAUAGUAGAUUUCGUACGAACAAAGUUUAAUUUGGCUGAUGGAUUUACUAAGGCAUUGGCUAAAGAUUCCAUUUCCAAAAUGACAAUUGGAAUAGGAAUGGAGCCCACGAUUAAUCACAAGUAAGAGAAUCUUAACUUAACGCUUAAUAUGACAUUAAGUCUUAAGUUCAAUAAGAUUAAAUCUCUUGUUUGAUGAUUGAAAACACAAAUAAUUAUUUCAAGAGUGCUUUAGAUCCGUGAUGCUUAGGAGUUUGAAUAAUUCUUAAUUGAUUUCUUGAACUUAUGUUUUAUCACAAAAACAUGUUUACCUAAGAAAUCAACCUAUGUAAGUGCGAAGUUUGGCCGCUUCAAAAAGUCAAGGGGGCAUGACUUUGUUGCACUUAUGAAUAGAUAUGGACGCAUGGCCCUAUUGUGUCAAGUAUAACAAGAAUAUGUAAUUUAUCUUAUAUGUAGAGUAUUUCAAGAAUUCAUUAUGUAUUAUGUUGGUUCAAUCGUUGCGACACCAAUAAAAUACGAAUUCCUGAACUGAGUAUUCUACUAAGUGAAAGUUUAAUUCUAUGUACACUUUCAUUUAUGUGUAAGAUUGCAAUUAUUAAAUUGAUUUUUGUGUUACGUAAUUAUACAAUACUCUCAAAUGGUGGAGGAUUGAUGAAAUUUAAGAGUAUUAGAGAAAAUUUUCAGAUUCAUGAAGAGUUACAAUUAUUCAUGAAAAGUUACCAUUCAUGAAAAGUUACAAUCAUUCAUGAAGAGCUACAAUUAUUCAUGAAGAGUUGUUAUUCAUGAAAACUUACAAUCAUUCAUGAAGAAAUGUAACUAAUCAGAAUCAUUCAUGAAGAAAUGUAACUAAUCAGAAUAUGAUAUCUCUUGGAUUGAUGCCUGAUCACUAUAUAAAGGGAUUCUGUGUUCUACAGAAAUUCAUUCUGUCAUUCUCUUAACACACAAAUCAAUUCUUGAGAAUCAUAUUCUUGUUUAACGGUAAUACUAAGAGUGAGUAUCAUCGUUGUAUUUCUUCUUUGUAUCUCAAAAGCGAAUUUCGUGAUAUUGCUUUUAGGAAAGUGUGUAUUCACGCCUAGAAGAAUAUAUCAAGUCUACAUUAUUGUUCAUCUUAUUUCCCUAAGUUCUUGGAAAAUUCUUCCAACAUUCCUUCCACCAAACAUUUGGAGAAAACUUUCAAAUGGACAUAGUUCAAAACAAACUCAUCUUUACACAUUGUUUUACAGAGGAAAGUCCAGCCAAGCUACCUAAAUAUUUAAAAUUAGUGUUCAAUGUAUGCCACAAACCUAUUAAAAAAAUGCCCCGUGAUAAAGUCUUCAGCGUUUAAGGUUUUGUUUAGAUGAGUUUUUUGUUUUAAGUUAGAAUUACAAUAAUAUGAAUGAGAUUUUCAAUGUUUUUUUAGCUUAGAAAAUUACUAAGUGAUUCUUAGAAUAAUGAAAAGACAAAAACAUAUAGUACCACUAGAAAGCGAGUUGAAGGAGAUGAUCUCAUGAUAAGUGAAUAAUAGUAGGCUAAGUUUUCAUCUUUGUUUAACCUCCUUUUAAUCAUAGUCCCUUUAGCUUUUGCAAAGGUUUGUCAACGUUAACCGUGAUACGUUGCAUAUUAACUCUUGGAUUCCUCAGUUUUGGUACAAUUCAAUCUGGAUGAGGAAGUUGUGCAUAUAAACUUUUAAGGUUUGGAAUUCUGUUUCUUUUUUAAAAUAAAGAAACAAUUUAUUGCUAUUGGAAAUUAAAAAUUAAUAUUUUGUUGUACACUAUGGAAUAUUAAUUUUUCUAUGGUGUUUUAAUUUACUUGCAUUUCUGAUACAAACUUUAUUUCUUAUAGUUGAACAUGUAACAGAUUGUGAAAUUAUAAAUGCGGUGAAUGGUGAAUAAUUAUAAAUAUAUGAUAUUUGAAUUUAAACGGUUGAAAUCGCAUAUUAUAAAGCCAUUUCAAAGUGUGACAACUUACAUUUUAUAGUAUCAUUUUCCGGUGUCUAUCAUUGAAUGUAUAACAAAAAAAUAAUAAUGAUAUUUUCACAUGUAUAUUACAUUGACAAUAUAGUAAGAAUAAAAUAGUCUUAAACUAAAAUUUUGAAUUUGUAAAAGAAAAGAAAAAAUAAAAAAUAACAAAGAAUAAUAUUAAAUGAAUGUGAAAAAUUUGUUUGUAUGAAAGUACUGUUACUCUUUCACAAAAUCAUCCUAUGUAUUGUAACAUCCCAAAAUAUAUAGUAUAAAUUAUAUAAUAGAGUCAUUACAUGCAUGAUAAGAUAGUACAAUUAUCUGACUAUAAUAUAAAGUAUUAUCCUUACAGUUAUCCAAAAUAAUCAUAGAAUUUAAACUUUAUAUAUAACUAUUACAAAACUAUCUACAAUACUACUUCUAAAACUACUAAACAGUUGGAUCCUCUCCAUCAAGCGCCUGCUCCACGGAGAUCUCAUCUCCCUCUGCUCACACCCACAGGAUGAUCAUUACAAAGGAAAAACACCACACAUAUAAAAACACAGAUACAAGAAAAAGGGUAAGCUAGAUAUAAAAGAAUUCAUAUAACAUAGAACAUAUACAUGAUAACUCAAGCAAGAUAAUAUAGUUAAGACAUCCUAACAUGUUACGACCUAAACUUGAUCGUCCAGACUUAGAACGGUUGGCGAGCUAUGACGGGUCAUGCACUCGUGGUGGCCUCUACUGCUUUGCAAAGUCAUUACCAAUGGGUUUCAUCCUACUACACUCACGAGGUUAGUAUGUUCGAGCCUUGAGACACACUGGAAGCUCCUAAGAGUGAGACCUCCUACUAUUCUUCACGACAUGGUUCAAUCCUCUCUACUUGAGAAUGAUAAACCAUUGGACAUGAUAAUCUCCAAGACAUAACUUCUGCAUUCAUUCUAAAGAAACUUGAAUCUCACCAAGAGAUUUCACAUUGAAACUUACUACUUUACUUUGAAAACAUACUUAAUCUCCCUUUAAAUCAUAACUCAAAUUACUUGAUACUCAUAUAACUUUUCACACAAUCAUACUUCAUUUAAAUCAUUAAUCUCAUCAUUAAAAUCAAACAAGGAAAAUCAAGAAAAGAGUAACUAGAACUUGAACCAUUCACUUAGCACACACUUUCGCAUAGCGAACCCAGAGGUUUCUCGCAUAGCGACACAAGCUCGUUGUGCGAAUAAACUCCCAGUGGUACCAGACCUCAAUCCCUCACAUAGCGCCCCAAUUCGCUAUGUGAAAGCCCCAUACAGAGACCAAAACUCCCCAAACACCCGUUAUGCGCACUCCUUUGCUAUUCAAAUAAAUCUGGCAGUGAUCCCAGACCCUAAUCAGAUAGAGAGCAGACCCCUUUGACCAUUCGCAUAGCACACCCUCUCACUAUGCAAAUUGCUCAGACAGAGAGCACUUGUCUUGACCACUCGUUGUGCAAAUCCAUUCGUUCAACGAGUCUGCAUAAUUCUGCAGCAUGAAUUCUGGAGAAUUAUGCAACUCAAACCAAGUUUACUAAUUCUAACUAUUUUUCCCAACUUCUAACCAUCAUAAUUUGUUUUGUAUACCUAAUUAGACUUGACUAAACGUUUAUGGACAAUUUCCUACUUCAAAACCUCUUAAAUCACAACUUAUAGACCCAAAGUCUAAUCUACCACUUUUGACACAUUUUUGACCAACUUAAGAGCUCAAGCAAGUCACAUUUGACUUACCAAAGCUGCUUUAACAAUCCACUUGAGCAUAUAACCUCUAAUUCUCAUUUUCACUACCCCACUUCCUUAAAUUAACCUUAAACUUGACAUUUGAGACUUUCUUCAUAACCUAUCAACCCUAUAACCUAUUUUUAACCUUCCAUACAUCUCACAACACAUUAAUUAUCAUCUAAAACCAGUCCAUCAUCAGAGUUCAUCAAUUUAAAAUCAACAGUCAUAUAGCAAUAAUACAAUUAACUCGCAAAACCUAAAUUUAGUUCAAACAUUUCAAGAAACACAGAGUUCAUCAUAAUUUCAUGUCAAAUAACUAAUUAAAGCAAUAAUUUAGCUUCCCUUACCUGAAUCAAAUUCUGCCCAACUCAAAAUCCCCGACAGAUGCUUGCACCACAAGGCAACUCUAAAAAUCACCAAUUGGUGGUGAAAAAUCAACCUUAGAACCUAGUUUGAGUUCGAAAUUGAAGAGAAAAACAACAAAAUACAUGUAACCAGAAAUCGUUGCAUGAUCAUAGUCCAAAAACAUACAGAGAAAGAGGAGAACAACUUACCGACUCAAAACAAGAAAUUGAUCGGUAUAGAUUGUAGUCCUUGACGCCAAACUUGUCUAGACACUUCCUGAUCGUCGAACAGAUAAACCAAUUGUGAGAAAAGUUAAAAAAAUGUGAGAGAAAGAAAAAGAAAUAAUAUUUUAAAAAAAUAAAAUGUAUUUAGAUAAUAAACCGAACUUUAUAAAUUUCUAUUUAUAUAUAUUAUAAAAUUAUUUUAAAAGUAAAAAUACUAGUCUCGUUAUUUUAAUACAGAAUAACUUGUUACAUAAAAUAAAAUAAGAUUCGAGAAUGAAAUAAUUGCAGUUUCAUACCACAGAUACUAACUAAAAUCCCACAAUAUUGAAUCGGUCUAAAUGAUCUAGAUUCACGCCAAAUUAAAAAUAAAAAAUAAACGAAGUCAAGGCGUAGAAAGAAAAGAUAAAACGAAUAAUGUGGCAGGUGAAAGCUCAAUCAAACAAAGAAAAAGCAAAAGUAUAUUCACAGCAGCCACAUCAAUCUAAGAAAUAUAUUCUUUCACAGACGUACAAAAUUUUUACAUUCUUUUUAUAUUAUCCUUUUUAACUUUUUAUUCUUAAAAAAAUAUAGAAAUUUAUAUUUCUAUAAUUAUUUUUAUAUAUUAAAUAAAAGUAAAAGUGUAUUAUGAUAUCAAGACUCGCCUCAACUAAUCGAAUAGUUUAUCAGUAAUGAAAUAUUAUUAUAAACUCAUCAAAUAUUUUUAGAAACCAAACCAUUGCAGCUAAAGAAAGACUGAUCCACCAAUUGUACUGAAUUCAAACUUAAAUUGAAAACUUCUUUCUAAUAAAAUAAAGAAGCAAACAGUAACCAGUAUUACCAUAUAUACAUACAUAUGGAUCAUAUUGGUUGAAGACAAAAAACAUUUUGAAAUUAGGAAGGGAGUGACUUGUGAGAUGGAAGAGAUAGAACACAGAACGGUGGAAGUGAAUGGCAUAAAAAUGCAUGUAGCAGAGAAAGGAGAGGGUCCUGUGGUGUUGUUCCUCCAUGGCUUCCCUGAACUCUGGUACUCAUGGCGCCACCAGAUUCUGUCUAUCAGCGCCAAAGGAUACCGCGCUGUAGCACCAGACCUCCGUGGCUACGGUGACACAGAGGCACCAGCUUCAAUCACCAGCUACACAUGCUUUCACAUAGUGGGUGAUUUGGUUUCGCUUAUAGACUCUCUGGGUGUCCAGCAAGUCUUCCUUGUGGCUCAUGACUGGGGAGCCCUCAUAGGUUGGUAUCUCUGCAUGUUUCGCCCUGACAGAGUGAAGGCCUAUGUCUGCCUCAGUGUUCCUUUACUCCACAGAGACCCCAACGUCAGAACCGUCGAUGCCAUGCGUGCUAUGUACGGAGACGACUACUACAUCUGCAGAUUUCAGGUUAUUUAUAAUUUGCUUAGAAUUUGUCAGAUUUUCCUAAAAUUUUGGAAAGGUUCAUGAAAAAUAUAUGUUUAUGUGAAAUAAAGGAAUGAUUUUGUUCGAUGGUGACCAUUGUUUGAAACCUUAUGACAGAAACCAGGCGAAAUGGAGGCUCAGAUGGCUGAAGUUGGCACUGAGUAUGUUCUCAAAAACAACCUUACAAAUCGUACACCUGGUCCUCCAAUCUUUCCCAAGGGAGAGUUUGGAACUGGAUUCAAUCCAGAUAUGCCUGACACCUUGCCCUCCUGGCUCACGCAAGAUGAUCUUGAUUACUUUGUCUCCAAAUUCAACAAAACGGGUUUCACUGGAAGCUUGAACUACUACAGAAAUUUUGACACGUAAAUUCUUGAUUUUCCGGGUUGCCAAGGAUACUGUUUUCCACUGCUAUAAAUUAUGCUUAUUUUUCGGGAAACUCGGUUAAAAGUUGUGGGUAUAUUUUUGCAGAAACUGGGAGCUGACGUCACCAUGGAGUGGAGCGCAAAUAAAGGUUCCGGUAAAAUUCAUCACCGGAGAUUUGGACUCGGUGUACACGUCGCUGAACUUGAAGGAGUAUAUCCACGGUGGUGGUUUCAAACAAGAUGUGCCAAAUUUAGAAGAAGUGAUUGUGUUGAUAGGAGUAUCUCAUUUCAAUAAUCAAGAAGCUGCCGAGGAAGUCAAUGAUCACAUAUACCAUUUUAUCAACAAGCAUGCACAUGCAAAAACAACCUUGAACACUGUGGAAGAUUCAUAGAGCCAAAAGGUCUUCGUAGUGAGGAAAAUGAUAUUUUAACACCAUUUUUUUGAUACUAUUUUGACACUGUACACGUGUCAAAAUAUGAUUAGACGAUUUCAAAUUAAAAAAUGUUGAGACAGGAGUAUGUUUGGAAGAAAAAAACCAAAGUUUGUUUUUUAAUUUGAAAUCGUCCAACCACAUUUUGACACGUGUACAGUGUCAAAAUGGUGUCAAAAAAUGGUGUUAAAAUUUUAUUUUCCUCGUAGUUAAGGUUCAUGCACUUCAUUUCGAUAUAAACCCACAUCCAGUAACCGUUUAUGUCCCUUUGUAAUACUAAAUAAAAUUUUCAAGUUCGUCUCUUCAAAAGGAACAGGGUACUUUAUAUUUGUUGGAAAAUGAUAUUUUAACACCAUUUUUUGACAUCAUUUUGACACUGCACACAUGUCAAAAUGUGGUUGGACGAUUUAAAAUUAAAAAAAUAAACUUUGAUUUUUCUUUUCCAAAUAUACCCCUACCUCAACUUUUUUAAUUUAAAAUUGUCCAAUCACAUUUUGACACGUGUGCAGUGCCAAAAUAGUGUCAAAAAAUGGUGUUAAAAUAUCAUUUUCCAUAUUUGUUUAUGUCCCUUUGUAAGGAAAAUGAUAUUUUAACACUAUUUUUUGACACUAUUUUGACACUGCACACGUGUCAAAAUGUGAUUGGACAUUUCAAAUUAAAAAAGUUGAGACAGGGGUAUGUUUGGAAGAAAAAAACCAAAGUUUGUUUUUUAAUUUGAAAUCGUCCAACCACAUUUUGACACGUGUGCCGUGUCAAAAUGGUGUCAAAAAAUGGUGUUAAAAUUUUAUUUUCCCCUUUGUAAUACUAAAUGUCAAAUGGGAAGUAAUUUUUGGAAAAUGAUAUUUUAACACUAAUUUUUUUGACACCAUUUUGACAUUACACACGUGUCAAAAUGUGGUUGGAUGAUUUCAAAUUAAUAAAAGAAUUUUGGUUUUUCUCUUCCAAAUAUGUCCUUGUCUCAGCUUUUUUUAAUUUGAAAUCGUCUAAUCACAUUUUGACACAUGUGCAGUAUCAAAAAUUGGUGUUAAAAUAUCAUUUUCAUUAAUUUUUACACCAUUCUUUUAAUUCUCAUUUGACAGGGUACGUCUAUUUUACACCAAAGUUAUUUCUAUGUCUCUUUUUCUUUAAAAAUAAAAAGAUUAUUUUGUUACAACCAUUUUAUCUUAGAGUUGUUGAAUGUAAUAACUGUGUCAAAUAACUUUUUUUUUUUCAUAUGGAUGGGAAUUUGACCGUAAUCUUUUUAUUUUUUAAUUAAAAGUUUAUAACAUUUUCAUUUUCCUGAUACACUCCUACACAUAUGUAUCCAUGUACUUUUAUUAGUAUUGAUUAAUUAAAUAUUUUUUUAUAGAAAAAUAACAAUUCCAUCAAUGAAAAUGAAGGAUUCAGUGGGCUAAAAUUAAACACAAAUAACUAAUUAACAAUACACCAUAUUUUUGCACAAUGUUGGAAGGAAAAAAAUAUUUAAAAUUUGAAUAAAUUAUGAAUAUAGAAAUAGUCGGACAGUUAAAAGAAUGAAUAAAAAAAUGUAUAAAAAAAAUGCUCAAAUAAAAUGAAACUAAAAACUAGAGCUAUCAAAAUGGGUCACAACUGUAAGUCAAUUCGGCCCACCACAGGUUCGGAUCAGAUUGGGUUUGAAAAAAUUGUAUUUUUUUAUGCGGGUCAGAUUUCAACCCAGCUCAUUUAAACCCGGCUCAUGCGGAUUGCACCCGUGGUGGGCCAAGUUGACCCACCAACCCACCCACAUAAUUUUAUUUAUUAAAAUUUAAUUUUAAUUUUAUAAAAAAAUAUAUAUUAUUUUUUUUGCUUGAAAAAAUUAUUUAAGUUUUCUAUUUUCAAAAUUAAUUAAACUGUCAUGACUGAAAUUUAGAAAUAAGAUUUGUUUAUAUUUAAAUUAUAGAAAAUUUAUAUAUUUUUUUAAAUUGUAAUUAAUUAAGUCAGCAGGCUGGUAAGCCAAUUCGUUUAUCCAACAAUAUGUGGUGUGUCGUGUCGAUUCUAGCUCACUAACAAAUAAGUCGAAUUGGAUUAGCUCACUAAGUAACCAAUCCGUGAUGGCCGGGUCGGAUUGGCCCGGAUGACUCGUUUUAACAACUCCACUAAAAACCAAAUAUUAAAAAGUAAAUAACUUUUUAGGUCAUUUAAUAAAUUAAAGGUGUGGAUAAUUGAAACAGUCAAAGUUACGACUCGAAUUCUUAGAAAAAAAUAAAAAAUAGAUAUAAAUAUUAAAAUAGCUACUUUUAAAAUAUUAAAAGACUAAAUUAGAAUCUACUUUUAGAAUAGGUAACAUGUUUGUAAAUAAAUUUGAGGAUCAAAUUAAUAACUACUUUAAACAUUUAUUUAAUGACAAUCAAACAUAAAGAUAGUUCGAAAACUAACCUAAAAACCCCACUUAAUUAUUGGUAUGUUAGGUAAGUUGUAUUAUUCUCUUGUCUUUCAUAUCGUCUGAAAAUUAAUUCCAUCUUUUAUAAAUUCAAUUACGUACUGGAUUUCGUAUUUGAUUGAUACUUUGAGAUUAUAAUAUCACUAAAAUCUAACCGAUUGUAAAUAUAAUUUUAAUUUAAGUCAUUUCGGCUUCCAAUUUCAGUUUUUACUUUGUUAUUACGAUGGAAAAUUCAUGUAUGCUGCAUGCAUAUUAUAAAAUAAAUUUAACAAAAAAUUUCUUGCUAGCCCCAACUCUUCACAUAUACAAAUGGCAAAUUAUGAACGAUUUAAAGUUCAUUGGAUUAGAAGAAAAAUUUAAUGUCUAAUUAAAAAAAAUCACGUUGUAUUAUGCAAAUAGUGUUGUUAUUGAUUACGUCUAUAAUCAGGCAACCCAAAAGGCUCAGAUUAAAAUUGGACUUAUGAGGGCUAAGCCCAAACCAGCUAACAAGGUCCAGAUGUCCAAUUCGUUUUCAGAAUUUAAAACUCAAGUACAAUAUUGGGUGUUGAUCCGUGGGCGUUAAUCCCUCCACUUCCACAUAUUUGGUCUUCUACCUCCCCAUUCCAAUCUUUUUCCUUCUUAUAUUUCUAUUUUUUUAUAUUCCUAUUAUAUCCUUAAUUAAAAAUUUAUUUUAUAAGUUAAUUUUAAUUUCAAUCUCCUAUUUUACAAAACUUAUUUUUUCUUAGCUUGAUCCCUCACCCACGUAUAUGCUCUCUCUGUUGUUAUUGUUUUUUUUUUUAAUUCUUUGUGCUCAGGCUCUCUCUUGCUAUUGUUUUUUUUUAAUUCUUUGUACUCCCUCACUGUAAGGAAUCGUGUAAAGGAAAGGUGCAACUGUGCAUAUUUUGUCUCCGUGGUUGAAAGAGAAACGUGCGCGACACGUAAUCCCUGAAAUGGAUGUCGAAAUCCGUCGACGGAUGUGCGACAUCCGGUUUAAGCCUGGACGUCUUCUUCCUCCUAUCCACCCAGAAACAUCAACAACAACGAAACAUAAAUUCGCGCACAGUAGAAAUCAACACAAUCUUAAACCCUAUAUUACAAAAGGAAGCAGAAAUCAACACAAAUUAUAUCAUGCUGAACGAAAGAAACUAACCUCUCGUAGACCAAGAGAUAGAAACGAAACUACGAAGCAACAACCACCGCGCCACACUGCCGCACCGCCGCACACACCCACCGCACCAUCGAACCGCCACAACACUGCACCGCCGUAAUGUCGCAUCGCCGCACACCAAAAGUUAAAAGCACAGGAAGAUGAGUGGGAGUGUUGGAAUUUUGGAAAAUGGAACUUGGAGCGUGGGGGUGAGAAGAAUCAGAGAAGGGGAGGUGGGGCUGCGUUGAAAGUGAAAGUAAAGUCUGAAUGAAGUGGAAAGUUAAAUGUUAGGGUUAUUUAGUAAAUAGGGUUAAAAAAGUAAAAAAAAAAAUAAGAAAAAGUGAUUUUUGUAAUUAAAGAAAAAAAAAUGGGGAGGUGUAGGUUUGAAAUGGGGAGUGGAGGGAUCAAUGCCCUGAUCCCUGCACCUCUACGUUUUUGGCCCUCUACCUCUCCAUUUUUUUUUAUAUUACUAAAAUAACUUUUUUUUACUUUGUAAUUUACUUUUUAAACCCUCUUUUAUUUAAGUAACCCUACAUUUCUUACUUUCCCAUUUUCAAUUUCACUCUCUCACUCACGGUAACACACAACACCCCCACCUUCCAGAUCCGUUUCCCUUCACUUUCGUUUUCAUUUUUUUUAACCUAUAAUUCCCAACUUCAGUCCUCUGUUUGUUUGUGCAUUUUGUGGUGGUGCAGCUUUUGUUGGGUGCGGCGGUGCGGCCUCCGUGUGCGGCGGUGCGACGGGUUUGUGCGGCGGUGUGUUCGGUGGUGGUGCUUCGUUUCUGCCUGUUUGUCUUCGAGGGGUUAGUUUUUCGUCUCUUCUUCUGCUUGAUAGAGAAGCUUAGUUUGUUCAUUUUGAUUUCUUCUUCCGCGCAUGCAUGUUGCUGUUGGUUUCUGCCAAGGGCUCUGCACGAGAGCUUAGUUUUUUCGUUUCCUUUCUUGAGCAUGAUAUAAUUUGUCUUGAUUUUUGCUUGGUUUUUUUAAAUGUAUGUAAUAGAGCGUUUCGGUGUUGCUUUGUGCUAGUGCUGUUUUUAUGUUUUUCUGUGUGAGGAUUUAUGAGUGAGUAGGAGGAAGAAGACACCAGACAUAAAGGGAUGUCGCACAUCCGUUUGGACCUGAAACGGAUGUGCAUAUCCGUCAGACAUAAAUUUUAGUUCAGGGUAUAAUAGGAAUAUAAAUAAAAAAUAAAAAUAUAAAUAAAAAAGAAGAGAUAAAAGUGAGAUGUGGAGAUAUAGGGCCAAAAACGUGGAGGUGCAGAUCAACGCCCUACAAUAUUUUAUCGAAAGUUGAGAACAAUUUUCAAAAAAAAAAAUUGAAAAGAAAAAGUAUACUUUGAAGCCUAUUUUUUUUUCUUACUUUUACUUUAUAACUAUUUUUAAUAAUAGAAUAUCAUAUUUAACAAAUAAAAAUAAAAAUAAAUAAAAUUUUAAAAUAUAAUAGUAGCAUUCACGAUUGUCAAAUGUAUAAGAAAAAUGAUAGUAUCAUGGUACUUUUAUAAUGGAGGGUAGUUGAGCAAAAGUUCAGAUUUAAUUUAUGUUCAAAACUUUAAGGUUAAGUUUUACAUUUACAGAACAAGUCAAGCUGGUUAAUUAAUUAAUGUCUAAAAAGAAUUUGAAUUAAAAGAAUACAGAAAUAAACACAAAAUCCCGUACAAAAUUAAACAAUUUAUAAUCUAACAAAUUGGAAUUAAAAUACUUAUAGAACAAUUAAAAUUUUGUAUUGCAUAAAUUAACCUCUUUUUUAUUUUCUCUUUAUAUUAAGUAAGUGCUUUCAAUUUUCAAGUGGAUGAGACAGAAGAUUGAAAUGUUCCAGAUCUUGUCUUUAUACGGUUGCAUGGGAAGAAUACGUGUCAUUUGAAAAGAAAUCCAAGAAUCCAAGGUUUAUAUUAACUCAAUCAUAUCGGUGGUCCCACACCUUAUAUAUCUACUGAAAACAACAACCAGUCACAUUCUAUCGUUUUUCUUCUAUGUUCUAAUCACUUUAAGUAUAUUUUCAUUAUUUAGUAAAAAGUUUUAUUAAUUAUUUUAGUUUAUAAAUUAUGAAUAUCACACAUCGUUUUUCGAACUUUGUAAAAAUGGAAAAAUUCGGUUCAAAAUUUAAAACUCUAGUACGAUUAUUUUCUUCCUGUCAGGUUAGAAAAUAAGUUUAAGAUUUCACAACGUUGUAUAGUUAUUACAACGUUGUAAUUUUUAUAUUUUAUUGUUACUCCUUAUAAUUGAAUAAUAUUUUAGAAUAAAUACUUUGUAAUUGAUUUACUUAAAAAAUGUUAAUUUUUAUUGCCUAUUCUUUUAGUGGAACAAUAAUUAUUAUUAUUAUUAUUAUUAUAUUUUAUAAAAUAAUCAAUCCUAUUCAACAUAAAAGAACUGUUCAGGAAUUUAAUGAGAAAGCCUGUUAUAAUCUAAAUUAUAGGCAUUUGAUGAACUUCACACGUAUUCCCAAUCUGAAUUAUAGGCUUGACCAACUUUUUACAAAUUUUGUUUGCUUUUGUCUAAUGUCAAAAACAGUAUCAUCAAUACAUUGCAAUUUAAAUGGAUUUGAUGAAAGAAAGUAAAUGUCCACAAGUAUACAAUAAGAUUUCAUUAUGAGCACGCAAAUCUUCAUAUUGUAAGUUUCUGUCAUCACAAUGUCGUGGUGUGUAUAUAUAAAUUAAGAUUAUAUAUUAAUAAAUAAUUUAAUAAAUCGAAAUAAUAUGUUGAAUCAACAUAAAUCUUAUUAAAAUAAAUUAUAAUUUAUAAUUUUUAUACCAUAUUAAAAAAAGGAGAAUUUUAAUAUAAUUUAAUUUCUUAAAGCUAACUUAUAUCCAAUUAUAUAUUUUAAAUUAAUGUUAUAUGUACUUCCGACAACCAUAUAAAUAUAAUUGAUUAGUAAUAGUUACGUCACAUAACGCACUUCUUACAAAAUUAGUUACUCAAUAAUUCAUCACGCUCUUCAUCAACACGUGGACCGGGGGACCGUGAUUUUGGACCGAAAUAAAGAUUGGGUUUGCGUCGAAUACCGCUACCUAACAAUUUAAGACCGACAACUUAAAAAAGUUACCAUCAAUUUAACGUUUUUUUAGAUUUUAAAUAAACCUAAAAUCAGUGUUCAUUUCAAAAAGUUGUUUGGUUUAUGUAAAGAAAAAAGUUAAUUUGACAGGCCAUCAGAUUCAUUUGACACGAUGUUAAUAAUAUAAUAAUGUAAUUAUAAUUUUAAAUUAAAAAAUUAAUUCAAUUAUAAUUAAAAUAUUAUUAUUUACAUGUAUUAUAUAUAUAUAUAUAUAUAUAUAUAUAUAUAUAUGAAUGUUUUUAUCCGUAUUUCUGAGUGAAAUACCACAAUCUUGUGUAAGGAAAAAUUUCUUUUAACAACAUUUUUUUAAUAACUUUUUGACAACGCAUACGUGACAAUUUGUGAUUGGUCUGUUUUAAAUAUUUUUUAAACAUAAAUUCAAAUAGACCAAUAAAAUGAUGACAAGUAUCCCGUUAUAAAAAAAGUUUUCAAAAAGUGUUGUCGGAACUAUCAUUGUCCCUUAUGUAAAUAUCGUUUCAGGGCAAUUACCACGUACAGCAGUUAAAGAAACCCGAGGAAGUCUCCAUACAAAUAAAUGAAUAAAUCUUAUUUAAAUAUACGGACCAAUAAGCCAAAAAGUAGACUAUAAAGUGAACCGCUAUCUCUAGAUAAUGUGGUGUAUCGNAUCCAAUAACACUUAAAACCAAAGAGCGUGUGAUUAGAUUUCGUACUAAGAUGGAAGGCGUGGAACACAGAACGGUGGAAGUGAAUGGCAUAAAAAUGCAUGUAGCAGAGAAAGGAGAGGGUCCUGUCGUGUUGUUCCUCCAUGGCUUCCCCGAGCUCUGGUACUCCUGGCGCCACCAGAUUCUCGCUCUCAGCUCCCGAGGCUACCGCGCUGUUGCACCGGAUUUACGUGGCUACGGUGAUACAGAGGCACCGGUUUCAAUCAGCAGCUACACAGGCUUUCAUAUAGUGGGUGAUCUGAUUGCGCUUAUAGACCUUCUGGGUGUCGACCAAGUCUUCCUUGUGGCUCAUGACUGGGGUGCCAUCAUUGGUUGGUAUCUCUGCACGUUUCGCCCCGACAGAGUGAAGGCCUAUGUCUGCCUCAGUGUUCCUUUGCUUCACAGAGACCCCAACAUCAGAACCGUCGAUGCCAUGCGUGCUAUGUACGGAGAUGACUACUACAUCUGCAGAUUUCAGGUAUAUACUCAUUCUUAUUUUUCCCAACACUGUUUUUCAUUUACUUUUAAGCUCUUUUUCUUUUAUGUGAAGUGAAAGGAGAAUUAAUUAGUGUAGUAGUGUUAGAUCUGAUGGUAAUUAUUGUAUUGAAAACUCGUUACAGAAACCAGGCGAAAUGGAGGCUCAGAUGGCUGAAGUUGGAACUGAGUAUGUGUUGAAAAACAUUCUGACAACUCGAAAACCUGGUCCUCCGAUAUUUCCCAAGGGAGAGUAUGGAACCGGGUUCAAUCCAGAUAUGCCGAAUUCCUUACCCUCUUGGCUCACGCAAGAUGAUCUUGCCUAUUACGUAUCCAAAUAUGAGAAAACGGGCUUCACAGGACCCUUGAACUAUUACAGAAAUAUGAACUUGUAAUUAAUCUAUGAUUUCCUUUUCGGUUAAAAUUUAUCAGAAAGACAUGUAAUUGAUUAACUGUAUUGCUGCUUACAGAAAUUGGGAGCUGACAGCACCAUGGAGUGGAGGAAAAAUUCAAGUGCCGGUAAAGUUCAUCACAGGUGAGUUGGACAUGGUGUACACCUCACUGAACAUGAAGGAGUAUAUCCACGGUGGAGGUUUCAAACAAGAUGUUCCAAAUUUAGAAGAAGUGAUUGUGCAGAAAAAUGUAGCUCACUUCAAUAAUCAAGAAGCAGCUGAGGAAAUCAAUAAUCAUAUUUACGAUUUUAUCAAGAAGUUUUAAUCACAGAACGAAUAGAAUACUGAUAAAAAAAACAACGAAUUGAAUAUGGAACACACAGUCGAAAGGUUGUAGGUGACGAAGACUCUGAAUGGUUACCGAUGGGUUUAUCUUAUCCUUUUAUCAACUAUCAUAUCAUUGUCACCACUGUUGUCACUACAUCUUGUCUUUCUCUUUUUUUCUUUUCUUUUCCUUUUAUUCCUCUUCUCACCCAUAUUCUCUUAAUAAAAAAAAUCAUUAAAUUCGAUAAUAAAUUUAUUGUUCAUUUUAUAGAUAAAUUUAUCAACAAAAAUAUCUUCAGUAAUAAAAUCACAAAUUAUUGAUGGAACAGACCAUCAUGUGCAUUAUUAAUAAAAAUAUUCAUUAAUAAUACAAAUUAUGAUUUAUUAAUAAAUUUUUUUUACAUUAAUUAUCGAUAAAAAUAUAGGUCAAUAAUUUAAAUCCCAAAAUUCAUUAGUAAACAUACUGAAAAUUUAAUUUUAAUUUGUAUCAUCAAUAAUUAAAAAAUUAUUUUAGUGUUAAUACAAAUCCAAAAUUUAUUCUUAACCAUAAAUAUAAUAAUUUGUGAAACCUCUCUCAAAUAAUAAAUAAAAAAUUGUUUUAUUCAUUAGAAAAAUCAUAAUUUUAACAUAUCCACAUAAUUUAACACAAUUGAAAACGAAACAUAAAUAUAUAAUAUAUAAAUAUAUAUAGAACAUAAUUAUUAUCUCAAUCAUUAAUUUAUUUUUAAAAAAACUUAAGGAUAUGUUUUUAGCCUCUAAAUUAUUAUACAAUUUUAGUUUUAAUUAUUUAAUGAUUAACACUGUAAAUUUUUUUUAUGUAACUAAAUGGUAUGCAACGUCUUCAAAAUAUAUAUAAUUAACUAAUAAAUUCUCUCAUAUAUAUCCAAUGUAUUAUGAAUUAACAUUAAAUCUUAAACAUGUGUUAGGCUUAAAACAAACUAUAUUUAAUUUAAUUAUAGUACUUGGUUUUGGAUAUUAACAUAAUUCUUUACUUAGUAGUUACAGAACAGAAAGUGAAGAUGAUGAGACAAAAAAGUUUAAUUAGAUUAGAAGAAAAAUGGCACAUUAUGAACAAUUUAAAGUUCAUUGGAUUGGAAGAAAAUUUUAAUAUCUAGGUAAAAAAAAAAAGAUUACUUUGUAAUACGCAGAUAAUAAUGUGUAAUUGAUUACGUCUAUAAUCAGUCAACCCAAAGGACUCAGAUUAAAAUUGGACUUAUGGGAGCUAAGCCCAAACCAGCUAACAAGAUCCAGAUGUUCAAUUCGUUUUGAGAAUUUAAAACUCAAGUACAAUAUUUUGUCGAAAGUGAGUAAGUUGAGACCAUUUAAAAAAAAAAUUAAGAAAAAAGUAUACUUUGAAGCCUAUUUUUUUCCUCUUACUUGCACUUUAUAACUCUUUUUAAUAAUAAAAUAUUACAUUUAACAAAAAAAAAUUAAAAUAAAAUAGGUUUAAUACCGCUUUUGAUCCCUAGUUUGGGAGGUUUUGUUCAAUAUGGUCCUAGCUUUUUUUAGUAACAAUUAAUCCCACUUUUUGAAAAAACUGUUCAAUUGACUCCUUUUUGGUUACGACGUCAAUUUUCCAAUGAUGCUGGUUACGACGUCAAUAAGUUCUUUCAUGCAUUCACCUAUCCAAAUGUUAUUUUAACAGUCCUGACAUAAUGUUAUGUUAAGUCCUGACAUAAUGUUAUGUUAAAAAUCAUGUCAUCAUCGUAUACAAUAAGGACUAUAAUAAACAAUUUAAACUUGAAUAUGGGAUGAUAAUAAACAAUUUAAACUUGAAUAUGGGACCACUAUGAACAAAAAGGACUCAAUUGAACAGUUUUUUCAAAAGGUGGGAUCAAUUGUUAUGGAAAAAUAAAAGUAGGACCAUAUUGAACAAAUCCUCCCAAACUAGGGACCGAAAGCGGUAUUAAGCCAAUAAAAUAAUAGCAUUCACGAUUGUGAAAUGUAUAAGAAAAAUGAUAAUACCAAACUAUCAUGGUACUUUUAUAAUGGAGGGUAGUUGAGCAAAAGCUCAGAUUUAAUUUAUAUUCAAAACUUUAAGGUUAAGGUUUACAUUUAUAGAACAAGUCAAGCUGGUUGAUUAAUUAAUGUCUAAAAAGAAUUUGAAUUAAAAGAAUAAAGAAAUAAACACAAAAAUGUUAAUGAAGGUCCCGUACAAAAUUGAAACAAUUAAAAUUUUGUAUUGCAUAAAUUAACCUCUUCUUUAUUUUCUCUUUAUAAUAAGUAAGUGCUUUCGAUUUUCAUGUGGAUGAGAUAGAAAAUUGAAAUGUUCAGAUCUUGUCUAUUGAUAUUUUAUUGACACGUGAAACACGCUUGCAUGGGAAGAACUUACGUGUCAUUUGAAAAGAAAUCCAAUAAUCCAAGGUUUAUAUUUACUUAAUCAUAUCGGUGGUCCUACCUUAUAAUAUCUACUGAAAACAACAACCACAGUCACAUUCUAUCGUUUUCGUUCUAAGUUGUAAUCACUUUAAAUAUAUCUUCAUUAUUUAAUCAAAAAGUUUCUUAAUUAUUUUAGUUUAUAAAUUAUGAAUAUCAUACAUCGUUUUUCGCACUUUGUAAAAAUGGAAAUAUUCGGUUGAAAAUUUAAAACUCUACUACGAUAAUUUUCCUCCUUUUCAUUUCUUAAUUAUCUAGGUAGAAAUUUAAAUUUCUAGAUAAACAAAGUAAUUCAGACCAUACCUUGUUUAUAAAGCAGAACAAAGAAAUAGUGGCCAUACUUAUUAUCUAUGUAGAUGAUAUGGUGUUAACAGUUGAUUAUGUGGAAAAAAUGAAAUUACUUGAGAAGAAACUAGCUGUUGAAUUUGAAAUGAAGGAUCUAGGACAACUAAAAUACUUUCUUGGCAUAGAAAUUUCAAGAUCUGAACAAGGUAUUUUUCUAUCUCAAAGAAAAUAUAUUCUAGAUAUUCUAUCUGAGAUUGGAAUGUUGGCUUGCAAGCUAGCCGAUACUCCUAUUGAAACGAAUCAUUCUCUUACUGUAUAUCUAGACCAGAUUGAGACGGACAAGCAUAGAUACCAGAGGUUAGUAGGAAAGUUAAUUUAUUUAUCUCACACUAUACCUGACAUUGCCUAUUCUAUGAGCAUUAUAAGUAGGUUCAUGCAUUCUCCUAGUGAAGAACAUAUGACAGCACUAUACCUUAUCCUCAGAUACCUCAAAGGUUCACCAAGGAAAGGUUUAUUAUUUUCAAAAAACGAUAAAGCUUGCAUAGAAGGGUACACAGAUUCAGACUGGGCUAGAGAUAAAACUACAGGGCAAUCAACUUCAGGGUAUUUUACCUUUGUAGAAGGCAACUUAGUCACAUGGAGAAGCAAGAAGCAAAAGGUAGUUGCAAGGUCUAGUGCUGAAGCUGAAUUUAGAAGUAUGGCAUAUGUCAUUUGUGAAUUACUAUGGAUUAGAAGCAUCCUAGCUGAUUUGGGAAUCAAAUAUGAACAACCGAUGAACCUUUUUUGUGACAACAAGGUUGCAGUAGAAAUCGCACAUAACCCGGUUCAACAUGAUAGAACCAAACAUGUUGAAGUGGAUAAACAUUUUAUUAAGGAAAAGCUAGAUAAUCAAGUAUUUCAAACUCUAUAUGUUCGAUCUGAAGAUUAACUUGUUGAUAUAUUAACAAAGAUUUCAGGAAAGGUGUUUCAAGAAUUCAUUAACAAAUUGAACAUGACUGAUAUUCAUGCACUAAGGGGAAUGUUGAAGAUAGGAUUCUGUUUCUAAAGUUGUUUCCUAUUUUUACGUAUAAGCAGUUAAUAGUGCGUAUAUAAUUAUACCUCAUUAUUUAAAAAAAAAUGAACGAAAGUAUCGUAUUUUAUUCUCAGAUAUGUAUCUUAGUUUAAAGGAUAUUCUAAGUUGACUUUUUUACUAGUUUUAUUUUUCUUGUUUACUGCCUUAAAAUGUGUUUGUGAAAUUUCAGGUGGUGGGUUUAUUUAAGUGAGCUCAUAUAAUCUGUAAUGAAGAAUAAGAUGUGGUGGGCUGUUCGCUCAACCUGUUUAAUUAAUUAACUCUACACGUUAAUAUAAUAUUCGUGAAAAAUGUAUUAUUUGUUUAGUUAAUGUUGUAGAGGAGAAAUGUAUUAUGAAUCUCAUAAUUAUAUAUUGUUAUUUCGACUUAUUAUAUUUGUAUAUUUAUUUCUUUUACAACUCGGUUCUGUAAUAAAACAUAGAUGUUCAUUAAUUAUUUCUCUAUCACAAUAUUCUAAAAUUUUCAAAAUAACUUCAUUUGCUUAGACAAAACAAACAAUGUCAUGUGUCAUGUCAAAAUAAUAGUUAACAAAAUAAUGAGUUUGGUUACAAGAAAAUAACAAAUCCCUAACUUGAUUAAUGAAUAUAAUGUAGAAUUAAUUGCGGGUGUCAUUUUCAGAAAUUUUAAGUAGUUUGAUUUUUUAUUUUCUUCAUUUAUAAUAGUAAAAAUUUAUCGAUAAAAUUAUAAAAAUUAAUAAUUAAAAAUUUAGUGAUAAAAUAGUUGUCAAUAAAUUAUAUUCAUGGACUGUGAAAUCAAUUACAAUUAAUCUCAUAUUUAUCAGAAAAUAUUUAUUAAUAAUUAUUUUAAUAAAUUUUGAUCAAUGGAAUUUGUCAAUUAAUAUCUUAAUUGAGUUUGCUUUCUCUUUUUUCUCUCUUCUUUUUUUUCUUCUUUUUCUUCCUCUCUCAUCUCCAUCCUCUUUUUUCUUCUUCUUUUCAUAUUUUUUUUCUCUUCCUUCUUCAAUUUUUAUCACCAUUGUCAACGAGCUAUUGUCACACCAUCAUGUGAUUGCCACCACUGUCGUCACUGUAUUUCGUCUUUCUUCUUUUCUUUAUCUUCCUCUUAUUCCUCUUCUCACCCACCUUUUCUUAAUAAAAUAACUCAUUAAACUCGACAAGAAAUUUGUUGCUCAUUUCACAAAUGAAUUUAUCAACAACAAUAUCUUCAAUAAUAAAAUCACAAGUUAUCAUGGAACAAACAAUCAUAUACAUUAUCAAUGAAAAUAUAAAAUUAUAAUACAAAUUAUAAUUUAUCAAUAAUUUUUUCUUACAUUAAUUAUUGAUAAAAAUAUAGGUCAAUAAUUUAAAUCCCAAAGUCCAUCAGUAAAUAUUAGUUUACUAAAAAACUGAUUUAAAUUUGUUUCAUAAAUAAUUAUAAAAUUAAUGUAGUGAUAAUACAAAUCCAAAAUUUAUUUUUAACCAUGAAUAUAAUAAUUUAUUGAACCUCUCUUAAAUAAUAAAUAAAAGAAAGUGUUAUUCAUUAGAAAAAAUCAUAAUCUUAACGUAUCCACCUAAUUUAAUACAAUUGGAAACGAAACAUAAAUAUAUAACAUAUAUAGAACAUAAUUAUUAUCUCAACCAUUAAUUCAUUUUUAAAUAAACAUAUAUCCAUUAAGGAUAUGUUUUUAAGUCUCUAAACUAUCAUAUAAUUUUAGUUUUAGUUUUUUCAUAAUUAACACUGUAAUUUUUUUUCUUCUAUGUGGCUAAUGGUAUGCAAUGUUUUCAAGACACAUGUAUAGUUAACUAAUAAAUAUAGUUAAUUAAUAAAUUCUCUCCUACAUUCUUAUCAGUGUCCUUCUAUUAAACAUAAUUGAAAUGUUGAUUAUUGUCAUUAAUCGCAUAUCUAAUAUGUGACGGAUUAGCAUUAAACCUUUAUCAUGUGUUAGGCUUAAAACAAGCUAUAUUUAAUUUGAUCAGAGCACUUGAUUUUGCGUAUUAACAUGAUUCUUUACUUGGCAAUUACAACACAGAAAGUGAAAGGAUGAUGGAGAUUGUCGACAGAUUGAAGCAAAAAGUUUAUUUUGUUUGCUUGUACAUUUUAAUUAGCAUUGGAGAAUCGAACAUGAUUCAAGAUCAAGAAAGAACUCCACAACAAUUGAACUCCAGGUUGAAAUUAAGUCUAACCCUAAUCUCCAAUUGUUUUAGUUCUUUCUCGAUCUUAUUCUCAAUAACAAAUUUUGAAAAUUCGGUAUUCCAAUCAACUAAUUCAAGAAAUGAUUUCCACUCUCUAAUAAACCCAAUUAACCUUAAAUAUUGUGGAUAUCGAAAAAUUAAUCAACCAAAAAAUAUUAGGAACUCAAACUAUUUCAUUCAAUGAAUUUAAUGUUUUUUAUUUUCUAAAAUAUAAUAUACGUAUAAUAUAUAUCUCUGUGUGUGUUUCUUUUUUUUUUUUUUAAAUAAAAGAAUAAAAUAUAUAGUCAAUUUAAAAUAGUUAAGUGUUGAUAUAUACAUAACUUAUAUCUCUAUCAGAUCAAUUUGAAUAUUAUCGCCCAAAAUCAUAACAGAUUCAAAUUAUAUAUAUAUAUAUAUAUAUAUAUAAAUAAAUAAAUAAAUAAAUAAAAGUUUGUUUGUCAUCCUAUUUUUGGUAUUGAUACAAACAAUGAAUAGAAAACAAUGAUAAAUCAUUCACGUUCAUCAAAUAAAAAUAAUGUAGCAAAUAUCAUUAACUAUAUAUUUAAAAAUAUGAAUUAUAUUAGUAAUUUAUCACAAUAUUUAAUUAGUAAAAACGCAUUUACUAAUGAGAUGAAAAAAAUAAUAUUUAAAUUACAAGUAUCAUUUAUUAGUUUCACCCGCCUAAAAAAUUAUAUUUAUGUUAAUUAUAAUUUUUUUAGAUAAAGGCCCUAUUACAUAUAUUUUAAAAAUAUAUUAAGAAUCCCUUUGACAAACAUUAUAAUACUACGAUCUAAUUUAAUAAGUUCUAUACAAGAGCUUUUAUGCUAUGCGUGGCUAAAAUUUAAUUAGUUAUUUGUGUUUAAAUUUGUACAUUGAAAAGUAUUUACGUAAUUUUGAAAUGAUUGAAUACAUUAAUUACAUUAGUACUUAUUAGAUAUUAUCUAGUUCCAAAAUAGAAAUCCAAUAUUGAUUAAAAUGUAUCCACGCAAAUAUUUUGUAGUAAAUUUAUUAUAUCUUUUUGUAUAUACAAGUUAAAAGGUAGAUAAAAAGAAAUGGAAGAAACAGUAGUAAAUUCUCAACAAUUGAAAAUAUUCAUUUAUCAUGAUGAGAAAACUUAUUUUUAAAAAGUAGUAAAUUUGUCUUUUUCUCUUUAUUGCUCUGCGUUUUCAAGUAUGUUUUCUCUCCUUUUAACUAUUUAAAGUUGUUUUUACUUCGAUUAAAGUAAUAUUUGAUAUAUUAUCUCUCAUUUGAACCGAUUAAAAUGAGUUUUCGUUGUGUUUUCGUGCGGUGUUUUUGUUGUAUCUUUGUGUAGCGUAGUGCACCUUCUCCCUUUGCUAGUUUUCUUGUAAGAAAAACUUGCGUUUUUUGGAUUUCUCACGGAAUUUCAAUCCAAGGAUGAAUUUGGGUUAUUGCUUAUGUCCAUUCCGACCGCCAACGAGAAAGUAUACGGUGAGAAUACACCAUAUUCUCACCGUAUUCUUUUUCAUUGGUAGUCAGAAUGGACCUAGGCAAUGACCCUAGUUCAUCUUAGGGUUGAAAUGCCAUGAGAAGUCCAAAAGACGCAACUUUUUCUUAAGACGAAACUAGCAAAGGAAGGAGGUGCUACUACGCUACCCAAGACACGACAAAAACCGCACCAAAGCACAACGAUCACCUCAAAGACGUCGGUUAUUGUACAAACCGACGUCUAUAAUGUCCCAAAGAUGUCGGUUAAUGUACAAACUGACAUCUAUAAUGCCCCAAAGACGUCGGUUAAUGCAAUGCUUGACGGUUUAUAGACGUCCGAAGUUUUAUAGACUGACGUCUUUAGACGUCAGUUAGAACAUUGACUGAUGUCUUUGUAUACGUCGGUCUUUUGAACUUAACCGACGUCGCACUUAUAAAAACUGACGUCCCAUUAACGUCACCCGUAUAGACGUCGGUUCUGAUUAUAACGUUAAAAGUUCAAAAUAAUGGACGUUUAAAAUCCUUUUUGCUCUAGUUAUUGCAUCAUAUUAAAAAAGUAUUAUUAAGACGUUGUAAAAGUUCACUUAUGUUUAUUUACUGAAAAAUAAAAAAAAAAUCUUUUUUUAAUUAAGUUUUUUUUUUUUUUCAUAUUGACCGCGUUGCUACAUCACAUUUUAGAGCAUGAUUCUGAUAAAAAAAAAAUAAAAGAAAUAGUGAUAACAGCAUGUAGAUUAUCAUCGAAGGUGUUUGUAAAGCAGAAAAAGAUAACUUUAUAAAUGAACAGUCGCAAUUGUGGAAGUUAUUUCUCUCGAAAAGAUAGAGAUGGAGGGAAUAGAGCAGAAAGAAGUGGAAGUAAACGGCAUCAAAAUGCACGUAGAAGAGAAGGAGAAGGCCCUGUGGUGUUGUUUCUCCACGGCUUCCCCCAACUCUGGCACUCUUGGCACAACCAGAUUCUGGCUCUUGAUUCGGUCGGAUAUCACGCUGUUGCACCAGAUCUACGUGGUUUCGGUGACUCAGAUGUCCCCUCUUCAGUGACCAGCUACACAUGUUUUCACAUAGUGGCUGACAUCGUUGCCCUUAUAGACCUUCUGGGUGUCGACCAUGUCUUCCUUGUGGCUCAUGACUGGGGUGCCAUC
rnacentral:lncRNA from 1 species